UACGUAGGUGGCGAGCGUUAUCCGGAAUUACUGGGCGUAAAGGGCGCGCAGGCGGCUGUUUAAGUCUGACGUGAAAGCUCCUGGCUUAACUGGGAGAAGUCGUUGGAGACUGAAUGGCUUGAGGCAAUGAGAGGGGUGCGGAAUUCCAGGUGUAGUGGUGGAAUGCGUAGAUAUCGGGAGGAACACCAGUGGCGAAAGCGGCAUCCUGGCAUUGACCUGACGCUCAUGUGAGAAAGCGUGGGGAGCGAACGGG
rnacentral:rRNA from 1 species